rnacentral:snRNA from 1 species
AUACUCGCUUUGGCAGCACAUAUACUAAAAUUGGAAUGAUACAGAGAAGAUUAGUAUGGCCCCUGUGCAAGGAUGACAUGCAAAUUUGUGAAGCGUUCCAUAUUUUU